AAAUUGAAGAGUUUGAUCAUGGCUCAGAUUGAACGCUGGCGGCAGGCCUAACACAUGCAAGUCGAGCGGUAGCACAGAGAGCUUGCUCUCGGGUGACGAGCGGCGGACGGGUGAGUAAUGUCUGGGAAACUGCCUGAUGGAGGGGGAUAACUACUGGAAACGGUAGCUAAUACCGCAUAACGUCGCAAGACCAAAGUGGGGGACCUUCGGGCCUCAUGCCAUCAGAUGUGCCCAGAUGGGAUUAGCUGGUAGGUGGGGUAACGGCUCACCUAGGCGACGAUCCCUAGCUGGUCUGAGAGGAUGACCAGCCACACUGGAACUGAGACACGGUCCAGACUCCUACGGGAGGCAGCAGUGGGGAAUAUUGCACAAUGGGCGCAAGCCUGAUGCAGCCAUGCCGCGUGUGUGAAGAAGGCCUUCGGGUUGUAAAGCACUUUCAGCGGGGAGGAAGGCGGUGAGGUUAAUAACCUCACCGAUUGACGUUACCCGCAGAAGAAGCACCGGCUAACUCCGUGCCAGCAGCCGCGGUAAUACGGAGGGUGCAAGCGUUAAUCGGAAUUACUGGGCGUAAAGCGCACGCAGGCGGUCUGUCAAGUCGGAUGUGAAAUCCCCGGGCUCAACCUGGGAACUGCAUUCGAAACUGGCAGGCUAGAGUCUUGUAGAGGGGGGUAGAAUUCCAGGUGUAGCGGUGAAAUGCGUAGAGAUCUGGAGGAAUACCGGUGGCGAAGGCGGCCCCCUGGACAAAGACUGACGCUCAGGUGCGAAAGCGUGGGGAGCAAACAGGAUUAGAUACCCUGGUAGUCCACGCUGUAAACGAUGUCGAUUUGGAGGUUGUGCCCUUGAGGCGUGGCUUCCGGAGCUAACGCGUUAAAUCGACCGCCUGGGGAGUACGGCCGCAAGGUUAAAACUCAAAUGAAUUGACGGGGGCCCGCACAAGCGGUGGAGCAUGUGGUUUAAUUCGAUGCAACGCGAAGAACCUUACCUGGUCUUGACAUCCACAGAACUUAGCAGAGAUGCUUUGGUGCCUUCAGGAACUGUGAGACAGGUGCUGCAUGGCUGUCGUCAGCUCGUGUUGUGAAAUGUUGGGUUAAGUCCCGCAACGAGCGCAACCCUUAUCCUUUGUUGCCAGCGGUCCGGCCGGGAACUCAAAGGAGACUGCCAGUGAUAAACUGGAGGAAGGUGGGGAUGACGUCAAGUCAUCAUGGCCCUUACGACCAGGGCUACACACGUGCUACAAUGGCAUAUACAAAGAGAAGCGACCUCGCGAGAGCAAGCGGACCUCAUAAAGUAUGUCGUAGUCCGGAUUGGAGUCUGCAACUCGACUCCAUGAAGUCGGAAUCGCUAGUAAUCGUAGAUCAGAAUGCUACGGUGAAUACGUUCCCGGGCCUUGUACACACCGCCCGUCACACCAUGGGAGUGGGUUGCAAAAGAAGUAGGUAGCUUAACCUUCGGGAGGGCGCUUACCACUUUGUGAUUCAUGACUGGGGUGAAGUCGUAACAAGGUAACCGUAGGGGAACCUGCGGUUGGAUCACCUCCUUA
rnacentral:rRNA from 1 species